UGUUAUAAGAGUUUGAUCCUGGCUCAGAAUAAACGUUAAUGAUUGGCUUAACACAUGCAAAUCAAAUAAGUUUAAUCUAUAAUUACAAAUUAAUGGUAAACGGGUGAGUAAAGUAUAAAAAUUAACCUUAGGCAAUUGUUUAAUUCAUGAAAAGAUUUUAUCGGUUUAGGAAAAGUUUAUAUAAGAUUAAGUUGUUGGUAAUAUAAAAGAAUACCAAGCUAAUGAUCUUUAGUUGAUCUGUGAAGAUGGACAACCACAUUGGAACUGAGACACGGUCCAAACUUUGUAAAAAGGCAGCAGUGAGGAAUUUUGGGCAAUGAGCGGAAGCUUGACCCAGCUAAAUCAUAUGUGUGAAAAAGUUUUUUGCUUUAAAACACUAAAUAAAAAUAAUGAUUAAUCAGUAAAGUCCUGGCUAAUUUCGUGCCAGCAGCCGCGGUAAAACGAGAAGGGCAAACGUUAUUUAGAUUUAUUGGGCGUAAAGCAUAUGUAGGCUGAAAAUUAAUUUUUAGUUUAAAUCUUAAAUUUUAUUUAUGUAAGCUAACACAGUGAUUUUCUAGAGUUUAAAAGAAGGUUAUGGAAUUUUUAAUGUAACGGUAAAAUGUUUUGAUAUUAAAAAGAACCUCAAUUAAUGGAAAUAAUAAUCUAAGUUAAAACUGACGUUGAGAUAUGAAAGCAUAGGUAGCGAAAGGGAUUAGAUACCCCUGUAGUCUAUGCUGUAAACGAUGAGUGCUAAUUUUUGCACCCUCAAAAGUAAAAUUAACAUAUUAAGCACUCCGCCUGGAAACUACGAUCGCAAGAUUAAAACUCAAAGGAAUUGACGGGAACCUGCACAAGCAGUGGAGCAUGUGGUUUAAAUCGACAAUACGCGCGAAAUCUUACCAACUUUUGAAUAUUUAUACAGGUGUUGCAUGGCUGUCGUCAGUCCGUGCUGUGAAGCGUUUGGUUUAUUCCAAUAAACGGACAAAACUCUUAUAUAUUUUUGAAUAUAGACUGUUAAAGACAUUUUAAAGGAAGGAAAGAAUGACGUCAAGUCCUCAUGACCCUAAUAAGUUGGGCUACUUUCAUGUGCUACAAUAGUUCAUUCAAAAAGAAGCGAAAAUGCGAAUUUUAGCAAAACUUAAAAGUAAACUUUAUUCGAAUUAUUUUCUGAAACUCGAAAGUAUAAAGUUGGAAUUGCUAGUAAUCGUAAAUAAGAAUGUUACGGUGAAUAAGUUCUCAGGUUUUGUACACACCGCCCGUCACGCUAUGGAAAUUCAUUUUACCUAAAAAUCAGGAGACUGAUUGAUGGUAGAAGAAAAACUGAAGUGAAGUCGUAACAAGGUAGCCGUAGGGGAACCUGCGGCUGGAAAAUAUAAAAU
rnacentral:rRNA from 1 species